GUACUACAUGGCUGAUGGUGUGAGGCUCUACUGUCAGGAGACCUGGAGUGUGAUCACACAGACCAGGGGAGUGCAGCUGGUAGAGCAGCACAUCCACAAAGUGAGGUGAACAAGGAUUGUCUGAAACCGUACGGGAGACGACUGUUGAGUGUACUGUUGUAGUGUUUCCAUGACGAUGUGUAGAGCUUUAUGGUAUAGUGGGGUAUGGGAUAAAGGUAUGCUAGCUCAUGUGUACAAAGGUGUUUGGAUAAGAUACGUGUUUUUGUAGAUUGUUGUGGUAGAUAAAUGUGGGCCAGUGUACACAAGAGAUUCCUCAAGUGAGCUUAUGAAUGUGUUGUGCGAUGUAAUAGAGGAAUUGCAGAUUGAGUUAUACGUAAUAGCAGUUUUAACCAAAUCUAAUCUUCAGUUUCAUUCUCCUGCUGGAGAGCUGAGUGGUGUAAGUGGGUGUGGUGACCGAGUGUCCUCCCUUCUCCCCCUCUGUGCUGAGACACUACAACACAGACACUACCCUCAACACAUCAACCUCCUGGGGACACUGCUUAAACUGAGCAGUGACAAUGUCCUGGUGCAGUCUGCUGAUCGAAGUGGACUGUCUCACUUCACUAUAUGUCAUCUGCUUGGGAGAAUGAUCCUCAGAGGGAGAAUAGAACAACACGAUCCAAUGGCCCUCAUGCACCCCGGCCAUAAUAUGUAUAUCCGACUAGAAAAACAUUUGCAAUGUGAAAAUUGCUAGGAUUGGCCAGGGGAACCACAAAAAAGCGUGGAAACAAGAAAUCAGACGAGAGCAUCUGCUUGAGCCAAUUUUU